UACGGGGGGAGCAAGCGUUGUUCGGAUUUACUGGGCGUAAAGGGCGCGUAGGCGGCCACCGCAAGUCGACUGUGAAAUCUCCGGGCUUAACCCGGAAAGGUCAGCCGAUACUGCGGGGCUAGAGUGCAGAAGGGGGCAACUGGAAUUCUCGGUGUAGCGGUGAAAUGCGUAGAUAUCGAGAGGAACACCUGCGGCGAAGGCGGGUUGCUGGGCUGAUACUGACGCUGAGGCGCGAAAGCCAGGGGAGCGAACGGG
rnacentral:rRNA from 1 species